rnacentral:rRNA from 1 species
AACGAACGCUGGCGGCAGGCUUAACACAUGCAAGUCGAGCGCAUCCUUCGAGGUGAGCGGCAGACGGGUGAGUAACGCGUGGGAAUCUACCUUUUGCUACGGAAUAGCUCCGGGAAACUGGAAUUAAUACCGUAUGUGCCCUUAGGGGGAAAGAUUUAUCGGCAAGAGAUGAGCCCGCGUUGGAUUAGCUAGUUGGUGGGGUAAAGGCCUACCAAGGCGACGAUCCAUAGCUGGUCUGAGAGGAUGAUCAGCCACAUUGGGACUGAGACACGGCCCAAACUCCUACGGGAGGCAGCAGUGGGGAAUAUUGGACAAUGGGCGCAAGCCUGAUCCAGCCAUGCCGCGUGAGUGAUGAAGGCCUUAGGGUUGUAAAGCUCUUUCACCGGAGAAGAUAAUGACGGUAUCCGGAGAAGAAGCCCCGGCUAACUUCGUG